GUUAACGAGGCGAACCGGGGGAACUGAAACAUCUAAGUACCCCGAGGAAAAGAAAUCAACCGAGAUUCCCCCAGUAGCGGCGAGCGAACGGGGAGCAGCCCAGAGUCUGAAUCAGCUUGUGUGUUAGUGGAACGGUCUGGAAAGUCCGACGGUACAGGGUGAUAGUCCCGUACACCAAAAUGCACAGGCUGUGAACUCGAAGAGUAGGGCGGGACACGUGGUAUCCUGUCUGAAUAUGGGGGGACCAUCCUCCAAGGCUAAAUACUCCUGACUGACCGAUAGUGAACCAGUACCGUGAGGGAAAGGCGAAAAGAACCCCGGCGAGGGGAGUGAAAAAGAACCUGAAACCGUGUACGUACAAGCAGUGGGAGCACCUUUAGGUGUGACUGCGUACCUUUUGUAUAAUGGGUCAGCGACUUAUAUUCUGUAGCAAGGUUAACCGUAUAGGGGAGCCGCAGGGAAACCGAGUCUUAACUGGGCGUUAAGUUGCAGGGUAUAGACCCGAAACCCGGUGAUCUAGCCAUGGGCAGGUUGAAGGUUGGGUAACACUAACUGGAGGACCGAACCGACUAAUGUUGAAAAAUUAGCGGAUGACUUGUGGCUGGGGGUGAAAGGCCAAUCAAACCGGGAGAUAGCUGGUUCUCCCCGAAAGCUAUUUAGGUAGCGCCUCGUGAACUCAUCUUCGGGGGUAGAGCACUGUUUCGGCUAGGGGGUCAUCCCGACUUACCAACCCGAUGCAAACUACGAAUACCGAAGAAUGUUAUCACGGGAGACACACGGCGGGUGCUAACGUCCGUCGUGAAGAGGGAAACAACCCAGACCGCCAGCUAAGGUCCCAAAGUCAUGGUUAAGUGGGAAACGAUGUGGGAAGGCACAGACAGCCAGGAUGUUGGCUUAGAAGCAGCCAUCAUUUAAAGAAAGCGUAAUAGCUCACUGGUCGAGUCGGCCUGCGCGGAAGAUGUAACGGGGCUAAACCAUGCACCGAAGCUGCGGCAGCGACACUAUGUGUUGUUGGGUAGGGGAGCGUUCUGUAAGCCUGCGAAGGUGACCUGUGAGGGUUGCUGGAGGUAUCAGAAGUGCGAAUGCUGACAUAAGUAACGAUAAAGCGGGUGAAAAGCCCGCUCGCCGGAAGACCAAGGGUUCCUGUCCAACGUUAAUCGGGGCAGGGUGAGUCGACCCCUAAGGCGAGGCCGAAAGGCGUAGUCGAUGGGAAACAGGUUAAUAUUCCUGUACUUGGUGUUACUGCGAAGGGGGGACGGAGAAGGCUAUGUUAGCCGGGCGACGGUUGUCCCGGUUUAAGCAUGUAGGCUGGUUAUCCAGGCAAAUCCGGAUAAUCAAGGCUGAGGUGUGAUGACGAGGCACUACGGUGCUGAAGUAACAAAUGCCCUGCUUCCAGGAAAAGCCUCUAAGCAUCAGGUAACAUCAAAUCGUACCCCAAACCGACACAGGUGGUCAGGUAGAGAAUACCAAGGCGCUUGAGAGAACUCGGGUGAAGGAACUAGGCAAAAUGGUGCCGUAACUUCGGGAGAAGGCACGCUGGUGUGUAGGUGAAGCCCCUGCGGGUGGAGCUGAGACCAGUCGAAGAUACCAGCUGGCUGCAACUGUUUAUUAAAAACACAGCACUGUGCAAACACGAAAGUGGACGUAUACGGUGUGACGCCUGCCCGGUGCCGGAAGGUUAAUUGAUGGGGUUAUCCGUAAGGAGAAGCUCUUGAUCGAAGCCCCGGUAAACGGCGGCCGUAACUAUAACGGUCCUAAGGUAGCGAAAUUCCUUGUCGGGUAAGUUCCGACCUGCACGAAUGGCGUAAUGAUGGCCAGGCUGUCUCCACCCGAGACUCAGUGAAAUUGAACUCGCUGUGAAGAUGCAGUGUACCCGCGGCAAGACGGAAAGACCCCGUGAACCUUUACUAUAGCUUGACACUGAACAUUGAGCCUUGAUGUGUAGGAUAGGUGGGAGGCUUUGAAGCGUGGACGCCAGUCUGCGUGGAGCCAACCUUGAAAUACCACCCUUUAAUGUUUGAUGUUCUAACGUUGGCCCCUUAUCGGGGUUGCGGACAGUGUCUGGUGGGUAGUUUGACUGGGGCGGUCUCCUCCCAAAGCGUAACGGAGGAGCACGAAGGUUAGCUAAUCCUGGUCGGACAUCAGGAGGUUAGUGCAAUGGCAUAAGCUAGCUUGACUGCGAGCGUGACGGCGCGAGCAGGUGCGAAAGCAGGUCAUAGUGAUCCGGUGGUUCUGAAUGGAAGGGCCAUCGCUCAACGGAUAAAAGGUACUCCGGGGAUAACAGGCUGAUACCGCCCAAGAGUUCAUAUCGACGGCGGUGUUUGGCACCUCGAUGUCGGCUCAUCACAUCCUGGGGCUGAAGUAGGUCCCAAGGGUAUGGCUGUUCGCCAUUUAAAGUGGUACGCGAGCUGGGUUUAGAACGUCGUGAGACAGUUCGGUCCCUAUCUGCCGUGGGCGCUGGAGAAUUGAGGGGGGCUGCUCCUAGUACGAGAGGACCGGAGUGGACGCAUCACUGGUGUUCGGGUUGUCAUGCCAAUGGCACUGCCCGGUAGCUAAAUGCGGAAGAGAUAAGUGCUGAAAGCAUCUAAGCACGAAACUUGCCCCGAGAUGAGUUCUCCCUGAGACUUUAAGUCUCCUGAAGGAACGUUAAAGACGAUGACGUUGAUAGGCCGGGUGUGUAAGCGCAGCGAUGCGUUGAGCUAACCGGUACUAAUGAACCGUGAGGCUUAACCUU
rnacentral:rRNA from 1 species